AUAACAGAAAGCUGUGUUUGGCAAAAGUAGCAAGGGUAAACUUUAACUGCUAAUUUUAGUGUGUGCAGUUUGUAACCAUGACCAUCAGCUGGUAUAUUUCAGUUAUAACUCAGUUGCCAGCCAAGCUUACUCUUACAAAUCAACUACCAGUUCUCAAUACCAGCUGACUGACUAUAAUAUCCUAGGGCUAGGAAACCAAAA